GACGUAGGGCGCAAGCGUUGUCCGGAUUUAUUGGGCGUAAAGAGCUCGUAGGCGGCUUGUUGCGUCGGCUGUGAAAACCCGCAGCUCAACUGUGGGCUUGCAGCUGAUACGGGCAGGCUUGAGUUCGGUAGGGGAGACUGGAAUUCCUGGUGUAGCGGUGGAAUGCGCAGAUAUCAGGAGGAACACCAAUAGCGAAGGCAGCUCGCUGGGACGGUACUGACGCUAAGGCGCGAAAGCGUGGGGAGCGAACAGG
rnacentral:rRNA from 1 species